UGGGGAAUCUUGCGCAAUGGGCGAAAGCCUGACGCAGCGACGCCGCGUGGAGGAUGAAGGUCUUAGGAUUGUAAACUUCUGUUAAGUGGGAGGAAAUGCCGAUUAAUAAUACGAAUCGGAGCUGACUGUACCAUUAGAGAAAGCACCGGCUAAACUCGUGCCAGCAGCCGCGGUAAUACGAGUGGUGCAAGCGUUAUUCGGAAUCAUUGGGCGUAAAGGGUGUGUAGACGGCAUGUUAAGUCAAUUGUUAAAUUCUUCGGCCUAACCGGAGGCAAACAAUAGAUACUGGCGUGCUAGAGGGUGGAAGAGAGAAGUGGAAUUCUCGGAGUAGCGGUAAAAUGCGUAGAUCUCGAGAGGAACACCAAUGGCGAAGGCAGCUUCUUGGUCCAUUUCUGACGUUGAAACACGAAAGCGUGGGGAGCAAACAGG
rnacentral:rRNA from 1 species